AUAAUUGUACAGGUAUAUAAUUACAAAUUAUGCUUAAGUGCUACAGUGAAGAUGAGUAAGCUGACAGGAGAGAAGAGAAUGGGGCAGCUUCAUCUUUUUGGGAAAUCAAGGGUGUAUUCAGCCCAUAGUGACUGAUGAGGAGACACUAAGUGAAGGAGUUGGUUGGCUCUGCAGAUAGAGGGAGCAGCUUGCACACAGGCCCUCUGAUGGGUGGGGACAUGUUUCCCAACAACCCAUGGCUGGAGCACCAGAGGCAAGCGAGGUGAAGCUGGGAGAGGCGGUAGGGCCAUUCCAUGCAGAGUCCUGGCCUAGGAUUUUAGUCUCUAUCUUAAAAUGAAUGCAGUGGAAAGCCUUAGAAGCUGUUUUAGGCACGGAGACAAAAGGGUCAGAUUUGCUUUCUGAAUAUUACUCAUUCUUCUGGAGAACAAGUUGGAGGGUGUCAAGAGUGAAUCUAGAACUAGUCAGGAGGUAUGGCAGUAAUCUAGGGAGUGGAUUGUUAUACUGGAUUAAUCCACUACAGUGGAGUGGUGGAAGUGGAGAAUGGGGGAACAGUGGGGAGAUUUGAGAAAUUUCUGUGGAGACAAAUACAUAGGAUUUGGUGGGGGAUUGGAUAUGGAGGGUGAAGGAGAGGAAACUGUCAAGAACGAAUGCUGUGGGUGGCCUUUACACCUGAAUAGGCAGAGCUGCCAUUCAUUGGCAUGAGAGGAGCCUGGUUUGAGGGAAUGGUGACUCUAGUUUUGGGAUUUGUGGAGUUUAAAGUAGCUUUGAAGCAUCUAAGCAAAGAUGUCAAGUAGUCAGUUGAACACGUGGGUCUAGAGCAGAGGCUAGACUGGGGGUAGAAAUUUGGGAGCCACCAGAACAGAGAUGGUGAUGGAAUUGGAGUGGACGAGCAGAUGUACAGGAGGGUAUUUAGUGGGAGAAGCCUUGGAGCUGACGCUGGAGAAACUCUGACUUUUAAAGGUCUGAAACAAGGGAGUGCGCCCACCAAGAAGAUAGGGAAGGACUGGGUAGGGAAGAAGGACAACAAUAGACUUCAGAGUCAGCGCCUCUGCAUGAGGAGGGAUGUUAGUUUUCCAGGGCUGCUGAGACAAAGUACCACAAACUAGUGGCUGAAAAUAGCAGAAAUGUAUUUUCUCACAGUUCUGGAUAUUAGAAGCCUGAAGGCAAAGUGUCUGCAGUAUGGGUUCCUUUCAAGGGUGUUAAGAGGCAUCUGUCCCCUGCCUCUCUCCUGGCUUCUGGUCAAGGCUUCCAAUCCCUGUGGUCCCUUGAUUUGUGGAUGCAUUGCUCAAGUAUUGGCUUCCGUCUUCACGAAGUGUUCUCUCUGUGUCUUCACAUGGCAUCUCCUCAUAAGAACACUGGUCAAACUGGGUUAGGGUCCCACUCAACUCCAAUAUCACCUCUUUUUUUUUUUCUUUCCUCUUUUUAGGGCUGCACCUGAGGCAUGUGGAAGUUCCCAGGCUGGGGUCGAACUGGAGCUGCAGCUGCCGGCCUACACCACAGCCGUGACAACAGCAACAUCAGAUCUGAGUCGAGUCUGUGACCUAUACUGUGGCAGCGCUGGAUCCUUAACCUACUGAGCGAGGCUAGGGAUUGAACCCGCAUCCUCAUGGAUACUAGUCAGGUUCAUUACUGCUGAGCCACAAUGGGAACUCCAGUUUUAUCUCAUCUUAAUUAUAUCUGCAACAAGUCUAUUUCCAAAUCAGGUUCCAUUCUGAGGUACCGGGGUUCACACUUCAAUAUCUUUUAGGGGGACACAAUUCAAAUACAUGCAGAUUGCCUCCUUGUAAGACCUUAUAAGGGAGGCGGGGACAGUCAAGACCCAGUUCCCAUCCUUUCGUAAUAUCUUAAUACAGGUUAUAUUAUUCUGUCCGAUGUGGUCCCAAAAAGGUGUGUACAGUAGCUGAGAUGGAUGUGAGGGUGGGCAUAGAAAAAAGGAAGGAUUUUAUAUUAUUUUCUCUAUGGAUGUCUCCAUUUUCAGAGUCAUCAAUUUAAGAAUAGUAACUAAUAAUAAUUGCACGUAUUAGGGCCAAGCAAAUAUUCUAGAUACUCAAACUCCAUGAACAAAUUUAAUCUUUACCCAGACCCCACGAAGAAUAUUGUCCAAUAUUUCAUAAAUGUUAAAGUGCCAUCAGUUGUGAGAUAGCAUGUGAUGUACUUCUAAGAAAGAACAAUAAAGCCUCCAAUUAAUUGAAAGAUGCUCGUGAUGAGAGGAAGACACAGCCUGGUUUCAAAAAUGUUGGGAUGUUAAAAAAAAAAAAAAAAAAAAUAGGGGAGUUUCGGUCAUAGCGCAGUGGUUAACGAAUCCGACUAGGAACCAUGAGGUUGCGGGUUUGAUCCCUGGCCUUGCUCAGUGGGUUAAGGAUCUGGUGUUGCCAUGAGCUGUGGUGUAGGUCGCAUAUGCGGCUUGGGAUCCCGCGUUGCUGUGGCUCUGGUGUAGGCCAGUGGUUACAGCUCCUAUUCGACCCCUAGCCUUGGAACCUCCAUAUGCUGCGGGAGCGGCCCAAGAAAAGGCAAAACAACAGAAACAACAAAAAAUUGAAAUACAGCUUGUCCAGGGUUAUACAGAUGUGCGGUGAAGCCCUGAUCCUCACGCAGGGUGCUCAGCCGUCAGGCUCCAUCACCUGUACUUUGUCUGCAAAAUCGGAGCCCCUCCCCAGUGCCUUUGUUCCUAUACCGAGAGCUGGUAAUGUUUUAGGACCCAAGUCUGAGCACAUUUGGGGGAUGUUGUGCCAGGAAAGGUGUGUGUGAAGGUGCACCUUGCUGCUGGUGAUUUGACUAAUGGAGCAUUUUGCAGGGUGGGUCUUUUGAUUGCCUGCUUUUUAUCAGUCUGACUUGUUAACAAUGGAGAAAGGCCACAGUGAUGAGCAGAGGAGACGGGGGUGAAGGUGAGGUUGGGGCAGGAGUGGGUGACUUUCUUGUGGAAAAUGAAGCUUUUACGUGUCUUUGAAGUUUCGCUUCCUCUGUAGGCCACCUCAGCACCCUCUCGCCCUUAUCGGGCAUCUUUCUGACUGUCAUCACUCAUGCCCUCACUCUUUUUCCUGGUUUCGUUUCCUGUGAAGUCACCUUCCCCCUGGUCUAAGGAGGCCCUGUAGGUAUCUGCAGCUUCCACGGCUUGUGGGAAAGUGACCAGCAGCUUAAUAGAGAAGGGGAAACUGCAUUAUAGUUGGCUCAAUCAAACCCUGAGAGGUGUGGUAACUUUUCCUUUUUAAUUUUUUCCAUCUUCAUAGAUACAUCCAGUUGCCCUCAUUCAUGAGUGUUCCCCCCUCUAAUAGGUUUUUUAAAAGUAGACUCACACAGACUUUGAAAACCACCUUACAGUAACCAAAGGGGGGACAGGUGUGAGAAGGGAUGGGCUGGGGUUUUGGGAUUGGCAUGUGCACACUGAGGUAUAUGGAAUGGACGGUCAAUGGGGACCUGCUGUACAGCACAGGGAACUCUACCCAAUAGUCUAUGAUAAUCUAUAUGGGAAAAGAAUCCGAAAAAGAAUGGAUGUGUGGCGUUCCCAUCGUGGCUCAGCGAUUAACGAACCUAACUAGGAUCCAUGAGGAUGUGGGUUCGAUCCCUGGUCUUGCUCAAUGGGUUAAGGAUCUGGUGUUGCCGUGAGCUCUGGCUUGAAUCUGGCAUUGCGUUGGCUGGGGCCGUAGGCCGGCAGCUGUAGCUCUGAAUGGACCCCUAGCCUGGGAACU
rnacentral:lncRNA from 1 species